rnacentral:rRNA from 1 species
UACGUAGGGGGCAAGCGUUGUCCGGAAUUAUUGGGCGUAAAGCGCGCGCAGGCGGUUUUUUAAGUCCGAUGUAUAAGCCCGGGGCUCAACCCCGGGAGGCAUGGGAAACUGGGAGGCUUGAGUACAGAAGAGGAGAGUGGAAUUCCACGUGUAGCGGUGAAAUGCGUAGAUAUGUGGAGGAACACCAGUGGCGAAGGCGACUCUCUGGUCUGUAACUGACGCUGAGGCGCGAAAGCGUGGGGAGCAAACAGGAUUAGAUACCCUGGUAGUCCACGCUGUAAACGAUGAAUGCUAGGUGUCAGGGGUUUCAAUACCCUGGGUGCCGAAGUUAACACAUUAAGCAUUCCGCCUGGGGAGUACGGUCGCAAGACUGAA